rnacentral:lncRNA from 1 species
AAUAAGCACUUAAAAAACUGGAAAAUAAUUAAUAGAAAGAGCAGAUUAAUAUGUUACACAAUGAAUCAAAGGAGGCGCUCAGAAACACACUGCAUUAUCCAAAUAAACAACUUUAAAUCCAUAGAUUAAUCAUCCCACAAAAUCUGGAAAUAGGAUCCAACAAGUUAUCUCACAGAAACCAACAUUCAUGUAUAUAAACCAAUAUCCAAAUAAACAACUUUAAAUCCAUAGAUUAAUCAUCCCACAAAAUCUGGAAAUAGGAUCCAACAAGUUAUCUCACAGAAACCAACAUUCAUGUAUAUAAACCACAAAACUAAUUAACAGUAACAAGUUUUUUGAUAAAAUCCAGAAGAAAUUUUCAAAGUAAU